rnacentral:rRNA from 1 species
UAGGGAAUCUUCCACAAUGGACGAAAGUCUGAUGGAGCAACGCCGCGUGAGUGAAGAAGGUUUUCGGAUCGUAAAGCUCUGUUGUUGUUGAAGAAGGAUAGAGGUAGUAACUGGCCUUUAUUUGACGGUAAUCAACCAGAAAGUCACGGCUAACUACGUGCC